rnacentral:rRNA from 1 species
GACGAACGCUGGCGGCGUGCUUAACACAUGCAAGUCGAACGGAAAGGCCCUGCUUUUGUGGGGUGCUCGAGUGGCGAACGGGUGAGUAACACGUGAGUAACCUGCCCUUGACUUUGGGAUAACUUCAGUAAACUGGGGCUAAUACCGGAUAGGAGCUCCUGCUGCAUGGUGGGGGUUGGAAAGUUUCGGCGGUUGGGGAUGGACUCGCGGCUUAUCAGCUUGUUGGUGGGGUAGUGGCUUACCAAGGCUUUGACGGGUAGCCGGCCUGAGAGGGUGACCGGCCACAUUGGGAAUGAGAUACGGCCCAGACUCCUACGGGAGGCAGCAGUGGGGAAUAUUGCACAAUGGGCGGAAGCCUGAUGCAGCAACGCCGCGUGCGGGAUGACGGCCUUCGGGUUGUAAACCGCUUUCGCCUGUGACGAAGCGUGAGUGACGGUAAUGGGUAAAGAAGCACCGGCUAACUACGUG